rnacentral:rRNA from 1 species
UGAACGCUGGCGGCAUGCUUUACACAUGCAAGUCGAACGGCAGCGCGGGCUUCGGCCUGGCGGCGAGUGGCGAACGGGUGAGUAAUGCAUCGGAACGUGCCCAGUAGUGGGGGAUAGCCCGGCGAAAGCCGGAUUAAUACCGCAUACGACCUGAGGGUGAAAGCGGGGGACCGCAAGGCCUCGCGCUAUUGGAGCGGCCGAUGUCGGAUUAGCUAGUUGGUGGGGUAAAGGCUUACCAAGGCGACGAUCCGUAGCUGGUCUGAGAGGACGACCAGCCACACUGGGACUGAGACACGGCCCAGACUCCUACGGGAGGCAGCAGUGGGGAAUUUUGGACAAUGGGGGCAACCCUGAUCCAGCCAUGCCGCGUGCGGGAAGAAGGCCUUCGGGUUGUAAACCGCUUUUGUUCGGGAAGAAAUCCUCUGGGCUAAUACCCCGGGGGGAUGACGGUACCGGAAGAAUAAGCACCGGCUAACUACGUG